UACAGAUGAUGUAAAAGAAUAUUUGCUAUUUGUAAGAUGUGGAUACGUUUAAAUCACCAAGAUCGCUGAUGCA
ensembl:snoRNA SNORD24 Small nucleolar RNA SNORD24